rnacentral:rRNA from 1 species
AAAUCUGAGCAGGGUAAGCCGGCCCCUAAGGCGAGGCCGAAAGGCGUAGUCGAUGGGAGCCAGGUUAAUAUUCCUGGGCCAGGAGAUGGUGACGGAUUACAGAGCUAGUGAGGUCUUAUCGGAUUGAUCUUGCUGGUGAGUGGUUCCUGGAAAUAGCCCUCCAUGAGACCGUACCCUAAACCGACACAGGUGGACUGGUAGAGAAUACCAAGGCGCUUGAGAGAACCACAUUUAAGGAACUCGGCAAAAUACCUCCGUAAGUUCGCGAGAAGGAGGCCCCGUUUGUACGCAAGUAUGGGCGGGGGCACAAACCAGGGGGUGGCGACUGUUUACUAAAAACACAGGGCUCUGCGAAGUCGCAAGACGACGUAUAGGGUCUGACGCCUGCCCGGUGCCGGAAGGUUAAAAGGAGAUGUGCAAGCAUUGAAUUGAAGCCCCGGUAAACGGCGGCCGUAACAAUAACGGUCCUAAGGUAGCGAAAUUCCUUGUCGGGUAAGUUCCGACCUGCACGAAUGGCGUAACGACUUCCCCGCUGUCUCAAAUGUGGACUCAGCGAAAUUGAAUUGUCUGUGAAGAUGCAGACUUCCCGCGGUUAGACGGAAAGACCCCAUGCACCUUUACUAUAGCUUCGCACUGGCAUCAGGAUUGUGAUGUGCAGGAUAGGUGGUAGGCAUUGAAACCGGGACGCCAGUUCCGGUGGAGCCAUCCUUGAGAUACCACCCUUCGCACUCUUGAUGUCUAACCGCGGCCCGUUAUCCGGGUCCGGGACCCUGCGUGGUGGGUAGUUUGACUGGGGCGGUCGCCUCCCAAAGAGUAACGGAGGCGCGCGAAGGUUGGCUCAGAGCGGUCGGAAAUCGCUCGUUAAGUGCAAUGGCAGAAGCCAGCCUGACUGCGAGACUGACAAGUCGAGCAGAGACGAAAGUCGGCCAUAGUGAUCCGGUGGUCCCGAGUGGAGGGGCCAUCGCUCAACGGAUAAAAGGUACGCUGGGGAUAACAGGCUGAUGAUGCCCAAGAGUCCAUAUCGACGGCAUCGUUUGGCACCUCGAUGUCGGCUCAUCUCAUCCUGGGGCUGGAGCAGGUCCCAAGGGUAUGGCUGUUCGCCAUUUAAAGAGGUACGUGAGCUGGGUUUAGAACGUCGUGAGACAGUUCGGUCCCUAUCUGCCGUGGGUGUAGGAUACUUGAGAGGAGUUGCCCCUAGUACGAGAGGACCGGGGUGAACGUUCCACUGGUGGACCAGUUGUCGUGCCAACGGCAGUGCUGGGUAGCUAUGAACGGACAGGAUAAACGCUGAAGGCAUCUAAGCGUGAAGCCCCCCUCAAAACAAGGUAUCCCUCGAGAGCCGUGGAAGACUACCACGUCGAUAGGCCGGA